GACGAACGCUGGCGGCGUGCUUAACACAUGCAAGUCGAACGCUGAAGCUUGGUGCUUGCACUGGGUGGAUGAGUGGCGAACGGGUGAGUAAUACGUGAGUAACCUGCCCUUGACUCUGGGAUAAGCCUGGGAAACUGGGUCUAAUACUGGAUACGACAUGUCACCGCAUGGUGGUGUGUGGAAAGGGUUUUACUGGUUUUGGAUGGGCUCACGGCCUAUCAGCUUGAUGGUGGGGUAAUGGCUCACCAAGGCGACGACGGGUAGCCGGCCUGAGAGGGUGACCGGCCACACUGGGACUGAGACACGGCCCAGACUCCUACGGGAGGCAGCAGUGGGGAAUAUUGCACAAUGGGCGGAAGCCUGAUGCAGCGACGCCGCGUGAGGGAUGACGGCCUUCGGGGUGUAAACCUCUUUCAGCACGGAAGAAGCGAAAGUGACGGUACGUGCAGAAGAAGCGCCGGCUAACUACGUG
rnacentral:rRNA from 1 species